rnacentral:rRNA from 1 species
GAUGAACGCUGGCGGUAUGCUUAACACAUGCAAGUCGAACGGUCACUUCGGUGAUAGUGGCGGACGGGUGAGUAACGCGUGAGAAUCUGUCUUCAGGUCGGGGACAACAGUUAGAAAUGACUGCUAAUACCGGAUGUGCCUUUGGGUGAAAGAUUUAUUGCCUGAAAAAGAGCUCGCGUCAGAUUAGCUAGUAGGUGGUGUAAGAGACUACCUAGGCUCCGAUCUGUAGCUGGUCUGAGAGGACGAUCAGCCACACUGGAACUGAGACACGGUCCAGACUCCUACGGGAGGCAGCAGUGGGGAAUUUUCCGCAAUGGGCGAAAGCCUGACGGAACAAUACCGCGUGAGGGACGAAGGCUUUUGGGUCGUAAACCUCUUUUCUCAAGGAAGAUGAUGACGGUACUUGAGGAAUAAGCAUCGGCUAACUCUGUG